CUAAAAUCCGAUGAAGUGAGAAGACUACCUUUUUUGACAGUCCUUUCAUCUUCACUCUCCAACUAAAGUUUGAGAGAAAGAAUUAUUGAAAUUCAAUAAAGAAUUAUGGCAAUCCCAGCCUUCACUCCCCUUGAUGCCCCAUAGGAAGAGUGAGGAGGAAUGCAUUGAAAACUAAUAGACUCUAAGCCUCUGUUUGAAGAAGAUCCACGAUAUGCAAAGAAGCCAUAAUGAGAGGGGAUGCUGAUGGGGACUCAAGUGGGAGUGCGCCAGAAUAAACUUGGCUGCCCUGUGAGUUUAUCUAGGACUUGCGAUCAACAAACUGAAUAUUGGAAUCAUUAAGAAGAACUCUGGAAUGAAGCUCUUGUUAUCCUUAGUUGAGAGAAGAAGAAAGUGAACUUAAUUUGUGUCCUAGGAAAUAUGAGCAUGAAUACAGAUGAUAGUAUUAUUUUUAAUAGAGAAAAACAGUGCUGUAAAUAACUCAAGUGGAAGAAGUUUAAAAACAACAAAAAUGAAUCAAAAUCCAAAGAUUAGAGUAUCAGAAGAUUUUUGUGUGUUACCUGCAAAAAAGAACAGAUCUGGGCUACUCUCUUUACAAGGCUU